rnacentral:rRNA from 1 species
CCUACGGGGGCAGCAGUGGGGAAUAUUGGACAAUGGGCGAAAGCCUGAUCCAGCCAUGCCGCGUGUGUGAAGAAGGCCUUCGGGUUGUAAAGCACUUUCAGUGGGGAAGAAAGCCUUGGGGCUAAUACCCUCGAGGAAGGACAUCACCCACAGAAGAAGCACCGGCUAACUCCGUGCCAGCAGCCGCGGUAAUACGGAGGGUGCGAGCGUUAAUCGGAAUUACUGGGCGUAAAGCGCGCGUAGGCGGUCUGAUAAGCCGGUUGUGAAAGCCCCGGGCUCAACCUGGGAACGGCAUCCGGAACUGUCAGGCUAGAGUGCAGGAGAGGAAGGUAGAAUUCCCGGUGUAGCGGUGAAAUGCGUAGAGAUCGGGAGGAAUACCAGUGGCGAAGGCGGCCUUCUGGACUGACACUGACGCUGAGGUGCGAAAGCGUGGGUAGCAAACAGGAUUAGAACCCUGGUAGUC